GAAGCUCAGUCGGUUAGAGCAUGGUGCUGAUAACACCAAGGUUGCGGGUUCGAUCCCCGUUCA
rnacentral:tRNA from 1 species